GCUGGGCGCGGUGGCGUGUGCCUGUAUUGCCAGCUAUUCGGGAGGCUGAGACAGGAGGAUCGCUUGCGUCCAGGAGUUCUGGGCUGUAGUGCGCUAUGCCGAUCGGGUGUCCGCACUAAGUUCGGCAUCAAUAUGGUGACCUCCGGGAGCGGGGGACCACCAGGUUGCCUAAGGAGGGGUGAACCGGCCCAGGUCGGAAACGGAGCAGGUCAAGAAAAUUCCAUGCCUUUCCAGUCUAAACUACAAGCACAAACCUGUCUGCAAUGUAAGCCCCCA
rnacentral:SRP_RNA from 1 species